AAGUUUGAUCCUGGCUCAGGAUGAACGCUAGCUACAGGCUUAACACAUGCAAGUCGAGGGGAAACGACAUCGAAAGCUUGCUUUUGAUGGGCGUCGACCGGCGCACGGGUGAGUAACGCGUAUCCAACCUGCCCAUCACUUGGGAAUAACCUUGCGAAAGUAAGACUAAUACCCAAUGAUAUCCCACGAAGGCAUCCGAAUGGGAUUAAAGAUUUAUCGGUGAUGGAUGGGGAUGCGUCUGAUUAGCUUGUUGGCGGGGUAACGGCCCACCAAGGCGACGAUCAGUAGGGGUUCUGAGAGGAAGGUCCCCCACAUUGGAACUGAGACACGGUCCAAACUCCUACGGGAGGCAGCAGUGAGGAAUAUUGGUCAAUGGACGAGAGUCUGAACCAGCCAAGUAGCGUGCAGGAUGACGGCCCUAUGGGUUGUAAACUGCUUUUAUAAGGGAAUAAAGUGAGUCUCGUGAGACUUUUUGCAUGUACCUUAUGAAUAAGGACCGGCUAAUUCCGUGCCAGCAGCCGCGGUAAUACGGAAGGUCCGGGCGUUAUCCGGAUUUAUUGGGUUUAAAGGGAGCGUAGGCCGGAGAUUAAGCGUGUUGUGAAAUGUAGAUGCUCAACAUCUGCACUGCAGCGCGAACUGGUUUCCUUGAGUACGCACAAAGUGGGCGGAAUUCGUGGUGUAGCGGUGAAAUGCUUAGAUAUCACGAAGAACUCCGAUUGCGAAGGCAGCUCACUGGAGCGCAACUGACGCUGAAGCUCGAAAGUGCGGGUAUCGAACAGGAUUAGAUACCCUGGUAGUCCGCACGGUAAACGAUGGAUGCCCGCUGUUGGUCUGAAUAGGUCAGCGGCC
rnacentral:rRNA from 1 species